UACAGAGGAUUCAAGCAUUAUCCGGAAUGAUUGGGCGUAAAGUGUCUGUAGGUGGCUUUUUAAGUCCGCCGUCAAAUCCCAGGGUUCAACCCUGGACAUGAGGUGGAAACUACCAAGCUGGAGUACAGUAGGGGCAGAGGGAAUUUCUGGUGGAGCGGUGAAAUGCGUAGAGAUCGGAAAGAACACCAACGGUAAAAGCACUAUGUUGGGCCGACACUGACACUGAGAGACGAAAGCUAGGGGAGUGAAUGGG
rnacentral:rRNA from 1 species